rnacentral:rRNA from 1 species
AUUGAACGCUGGCGGCAGGCUUAACACAUGCAAGUCGAGCGGGGGAAGGUAGCUUGCUACCGGACCUAGCGGCGGACGGGUGAGUAAUGCUUAGGAAUCUGCCUAUUAGUGGGGGACAACAUCUCGAAAGGGAUGCUAAUACCGCAUACGUCCUACGGGAGAAAGCAGGGGAUCUUCGGACCUUGCGCUAAUAGAUGAGCCUAAGUCAGAUUAGCUAGUUGGUGGGGUAAAGGCCUACCAAGGCGACGAUCUGUAGCGGGUCUGAGAGGAUGAUCCGCCGCACUGGGACUGAGACACGGCCCAGACUCCUACGGGAGGCAGCAGUGGGGAAUAUUGGACAAUGGGGGGAACCCUGAUCCAGCCAUGCCGCGUGUGUGAAGAAGGCCUUAUGGUUGUAAAGCACUUUAAGCGAGGAGGAGGCUACUUUAGUUAAUACCUAGAGAUAGUGGACGUUACUCGCAGAAUAAGCACCGGCUAACUCUGUGCCAGCCGCCGCGGUAA